rnacentral:rRNA from 1 species
AGCAGCCGCGGUAAUUCCAGCUCCAAUAGCGUAUAUUAAAGUUGUUGCAGUUAAAAAGCUCGUAGUUGAAUUUCGGGGUCAGUAGGUUGGUCAUGCCACUGGUAUGUACUGGUCACACUGAUUCCUCCUUCCUGAUGAACUGUAAUGCCAUUAAUUUGGUGUUGCAGGGAAUCUGGACUGUUACUUUGAAAAAAUUAGAGUGUUUAAAGCAGGCUAACGCCUGAAUACAUUAGCAUGGAAUAAUGAAAUAGGACGUUCGAUCCUAUUUUGUUGGUUUCUAGGAUUGACGUAAUGAUUAAUAGGGAUAGUUGGGGGCAUUAGUAUUCAAUUGUCAGAGGUGAAAUUCUUGGAUUUAUUGAAGACUAACUACUGCGGAAGCAUUUGCCAAGGAUGUUUUCAUUAAUCAAGAACGAAAGUUAGGGGAUCGAAGACGAUCAGAUACCGUCGUAGUCUUAACCAUAAACUAUGCCGACUAGGGAUCGGAUGAUGUUAAUUUUUAAUGACUCU